GCGACUGUAGCUCAGAGGGAGAGCACCACCUUGACACGGUGGGGGCCACAGGUUCAAGUCCUGUCAGUCGCACCA
rnacentral:tRNA from 1 species